rnacentral:rRNA from 1 species
GAUUAACGCUGGCGGCGUGCAUAACACAUUCAAGUCGAACGGUGAGGGGGCUUCGGCCCCUGAUCAGUGGCGGACGGGUGAGUAACGCGUGAGUAAUCUGCCUCUGUGUGCGGGGAUUAACAGCCGGAAACAGCUGCUAAUACCGCAUAACGUAUACGGGUCGCAUGGCCUGUAUACCAAAAGGCUUGCUGCACAGAGAUGAACUUGCGUCUGAUUAGAUAGUUGGCGGGGUAACGGCCCACCAAGUCGACGAUCAGUAGCCGGACUGAGAGGUUGAACGGCCACAUUGGAACUGAGAUACGGUCCAGACUCCUACGGGAGGCAGCAGUGGGGAAUAUUGGGCAAUGGGCGAAAGCCUGACCCAGCGACGCCGCGUGAGGGAAGAAGGUCUUCGGAUUGUAAACCUUUGUCAACAGGGAAGAAUAAAUGACGGUACCUGUGGAGGAAGCCACGGCUAACUACGUG